UUAAGCGACUAAGCGUACACGGUGGAUGCCCUGGCAGUCAGAGGCGAUGAAGGACGUGCUAAUCUGCGAUAAGCGUCGGUGAGGUGAUAUGAACCGUUAUAACCGGCGAUUUCCGAAUGGGGAAACCCAGUGUGUUUCGACACACUAUCAUUAACUGAAUCCAUAGGUUAAUGAGGCGAACCGGGGGAACUGAAACAUCUAAGUACCCCGAGGAAAAGAAAUCAACCGAGAUUCCCCCAGUAGCGGCGAGCGAACGGGGAGGAGCCCAGAGCCUGAAUCAGUGUGUGUGUUAGUGGAAGCGUCUGGAAAGGCGCGCGAUACAGGGUGACAGCCCCGUACACAAAAAUGCACAUAUUGUGAGCUCGAUGAGUAGGGCGGGACACGUGGUAUCCUGUCUGAAUAUGGGGGGACCAUCCUCCAAGGCUAAAUACUCCUGACUGACCGAUAGUGAACCAGUACCGUGAGGGAAAGGCGAAAAGAACCCCGGCGAGGGGAGUGAAAAAGAACCUGAAACCGUGUACGUACAAGCAGUGGGAGCCUCUUAAUGGGGUGACUGCGUACCUUUUGUAUAAUGGGUCAGCGACUUAUAUUCUGUAGCAAGGUUAACCGAAUAGGGGAGCCGAAGGGAAACCGAGUCUUAACUGGGCGUUAAGUUGCAGGGUAUAGACCCGAAACCCGGUGAUUCAGCCAUGGGCAGGUUGAAGGUUGGGUAACACUAACUGGAGGACCGAACCGACUAAUGUUGAAAAAUUAGCGGAUGACUUGUGGCUGGGGGUGAAAGGCCAAUCAAACCGGGAGAUAGCUGGUUCUCCCCGAAAGCUAUUUAGGUAGCGCCUCGUGAAUUCAUCUCCGGGGUAGAGCACUGUUUCGGCAAGGGGGUCAUCCCGACUUACCAACCCGAUGCAAACUGCGAAUACCGGAGAAUGUUAUCACGGGAGACACACGGCGGGUGCUAACGUCCGUCGUGAAGAGGGAAACAACCCAGACCGCCAGCUAAGGUCCCAAAGUCAUGGUUAAGUGGGAAACGAUGUGGGAAGGCCCAGACAGCCGUGAUGUUGGCUUAGAAGCAGCCAUCAUUUAAAGAAAGCGUAAUAGCUCACUGGUCGAGUCGGCCUGCGCGGAAGAUGUAACGGGCUAAACCAUGCACCGAAGCUGCGGCAGCGACACUAUGUGUUGUUGGGUAGGGGAGCGUUCUGUAAGCCUGUGAAGGUGGCCUGUGAGGGUUGCUGGAGGUAUCAGAAGUGCGAAUGCUGACAUAAGUAACGAUAAAGCGGGUGAAAAGCCCGCUCGCCGGAAGACCAAGGGUUCCUGUCCAACGUUAAUCGGGGCAGGGUGAGUCGACCCCUAAGGCGAGGCCGAAAGGCGUAGUCGAUGGGAAACAGGUUAAUAUUCCUGUACUUGGUGUUACUGCGAAGGGGGACGGAGAAGGCUAUGUUGGCCGGGCGACGGUUGUCCCGGUUUAAGCGUGUAGGCUGGUUUUCCGCAAAUCCGGAAAAUCAAGGCUGAGGCGUGAUGACGAGGCACUACGGUGCUGAAGCGACAAAUGCCCUGCUUCCGUGAAAAGCCUCUAAGCAUCAGGUAACAUCAAAUCGUACCCCAAACCGACACAGGUGGUCAGGUAGAGAAUACCAAGGCGCUUGAGAGAACUCGGGUGAAGGAACUAGGCAAAAUGGUGCCGUAACUUCGGGAGAAGGCACGCUGAUAUGUAGGUGAAGCGACUUGCUCGUGGAGCUGAAAUCAGUCGAAGAUACCAGCUGGCUGCAACUGUUUAUUAAAAACACAGCACUGUGCAAACACGAAAGUGGACGUAUACGGUGUGACGCCUGCCCGGUGCCGGAAGGUUAAUUGAUGGGGUUAGCGGUAACGCGAAGCUCUUGAUCGAAGCCCCGGUAAACGGCGGCCGUAACUAUAACGGUCCUAAGGUAGCGAAAUUCCUUGUCGGGUAAGUUCCGACCUGCACGAAUGGCGUAAUGAUGGCCAGGCUGUCUCCACCCGAGACUCAGUGAAAUUGAACUCGCUGUGAAGAUGCAGUGUACCCGCGGCAAGACGGAAAGACCCCGUGAACCUUUACUAUAGCUUGACACUGAACAUUGAGCCUUGAUGUGUAGGAUAGGUGGGAGGCUUUGAAGUGUGGACGCCAGUCUGCAUGGAGCCGACCUUGAAAUACCACCCUUUAAUGUUUGAUGUUCUAACGUGGGCCCCUUACCGGGGUUGCGGACAGUGUCUGGUGGGUAGUUUGACUGGGGCGGUCCUCCUAAAGAGUAACGGAGGAGCACGAAGGUUGGCUAAUCCUGGUCGGACAUCAGGAGGUUAGUGCAAUGGCAUAAGCCAGCUUGACUGCGAGCGUGACGGCGCGAGCAGGUGCGAAAGCAGGUCAUAGUGAUCCGGUGGUUCUGAAUGGAAGGGCCAUCGCUCAACGGAUAAAAGGUACUCCGGGGAUAACAGGCUGAUACCGCCCAAGAGUUCAUAUCGACGGCGGUGUUUGGCACCUCGAUGUCGGCUCAUCACAUCCCGGGCUGAAGUAGGUCCCAAGGGUAUGGCUGUUCGCCAUUUAAAGUGGUACGCGAGCUGGGUUUAGAACGUCGUGAGACAGUUCGGUCCCUAUCUGCCGUGGGCGCUGGAGAACUGAGGGGGGCUGCUCCUAGUACGAGAGGACCGGAGUGGACGCAUCACUGGUGUUCGGGUUGUCAUGCCAAUGGCACUGCCCGGUAGCUAAAUGCGGAAGAGAUAAGUGCUGAAAGCAUCUAAGCACGAAACUUGCCCCGAGAUGAGUUCUCCCUGACUCCUUGAGAGUCCUGAAGGAACGUUGAAGACGACGACGUUGAUAGGCCGGGUGUGUAAGCGCAGCGAUGCGUUGAGCUAACCGGUACUAAUGAACCGUGAGGCUUAACCU
rnacentral:rRNA from 1 species